UUCUAAAAUUUAUCAAAACAUUUCCUACAGCUAUUACCUUAAUUUCAAUCCAAGACACUCAAAUAUUUUCACAGUUUGCCCGAAGAAAUUGUAUUUGUAUACCCGACUGGGGGUAUCAUUCACCCCCCCCCACUCCCAGCGGUAGUGUCGCCCCUGUGUUUAGUAUCCUAAUCUCGGGAUUAACGUCGUUCGCUAAGGGAUCAUUUAUCAGUGGUUCAUCGGUAUGCCAGAGCACCAGCUUAAAAAACUCUUUAAAAAAGCGAGCCUUAUUAGUACGACCGGAUUUUGAAAUCCCACUAACGACCGAAGUCGAGUACUUAAACUGACUUACCCAACGUUGUGAUUACAUAUCUUCGAAGUAUUACUACUUUAAAUGUCAAAAUGAUCUGCUGGUCGUCUUUUUUCUUGUUUCAAAAAUACGGACUAAAUGUUGAUUUCAUUUCUAUUGGGUUCAUAAAUUACUAGUGAGUGUCAGAAUAGUAUUUCACCAUAUUUGUAACGUAUGUGUUUUUUUUUGCAAUGGCAGGUAGUGGAGGCAGCAACAACAACAACAACAACAAUAGCAACGACAACAGCAGUGCUGGCCUCUGUAAGUUUUGACGUGACCCCUUCCUACCAUAGUUAGCAAUUAAUGUACUACUUUCAGUAUCGUAGCCAUGGGACCCGAGCAUCUCUCCCCCUUUUUUUUGGACCAGCUUUGUAGUUAUUUCAAAUUUGUGGGUGGCGUAACCUGUUAAUUUCAUCUGUGACGUAACAUAUACCAAACUGUCACUUUCAGAUUAUGAUAAAACGUGUCUAAGGUGCAUGAAAUAGCGUUUCACAGAACCUCUUCUUCAAUGUAAUCGACCGCUGGACCCCCCACACUCACUCUUCUUUUAAGGCUGGCUGCGCCCCUGACCACUUUCGACCUGAUAUUGAAGAACCUAAACGAACCUACGACCUUUCCAAUACCAGCCCAAUGCUCUGCCAAUUGAGCUACUGUACGCGGUCAGGUCGGUUCGAGUGUGUAUUAUUUUGGGACUGAAUCUAGUUCCUACGAUAUCGAUGUAAUCUAAUAAUAUGAUUUUUCUGUGUUGGUGUAAUUGUACUCAGGUGAAUAAGAUGCCUGUGAUGUUACCCUGGGUGUAUAUACACAACGGGCAAGCUUGAAAAAUAUGACUUGCCACGAUUAGAAUCGAACCUAUGACCUUUGCAAUACCAACCGAAUGCUCUGCCAACUGAGCUACGCCGUCAGUCCGUUCGAGUAUAGCUGAGUUGGCAGAGCAUCGGGCUGGCAUUCCAAAGGUCGUAGGUUCGAUUCCCACCGUGGCCAGGCAUAUUUUUCAAGCUCGCCGGGUGUGGAUAUACACUCAGAGUAACAUCACAAGCAUCAUAUUCAUCUGAGUACAAUUACACCAACACAGAAAAUCAUGAUUAUUAGAUUACAUCGAAAUCGAGGGAACUAGAUUCGGUUCCGAAAUAUCAGAUACUCGAACCGACCAGACCGCGUAAUUAACUCAGUUGGCAGAGCAUUGGGCUGGUAUUCCAAAGGUCGUAGUUUUGCUUCCCACCAUGGCCAGACAUAUUUUUGAAGCUUGUCCGGUGUGGAUAUACACUCAGAGUAAGAUCAUAAGCAAUCAACGUAAUAUUGUUUUAUACAUGAGUUAGUAUAAACAAGUGCAUGUGACUGUCUGAUGCUUUCCGGGAUGAGGGACAGCUCAAAGUUUUCCAGAAUUUUUAUCGUGAAUUGUAAUAAUAACCUGCAUGAAUUUAAUGAAUAACCUGUAUCUUUCCAAAUUUUCUUGAUUUUUCCUGUAUAGUAUGUGCACAAUUCUCUGUCGUUUUCUAAAGUUUGGGAGGGUAUAUUUCUCCCUCCCCCCCCUCCCUGCCCUAUUGUCUCAAUUGCCAAUGCAAAGGACGAUUUCCAAACACGAGAAUACAGUAGAAACGAGACUGCUUACCAAUAAACAAUCUGACUUUAUAUUGCUCUCGAAUUUCGGUUAAAAGAAUAACCUGACAUAAAGAUUGUGGCAUGCUUUUGCAAUCCAAUUCAGUGGUCGGAAUGGUCUUUUGGAUUUUAAUUGUUCUCUCCGCCAUCCAGUCACUCAUUGUUUGACUUACUUGUGGCCAGGGCCGCCGAGAGGGGGGGAGGGGCAGGGGGGGGGGCAAAUUGCCCCGGGCCCCGAGGUUCUGGGGGCCCCUAAAAAUUUAAUGUUAGAAAUUUAAUGGGCCCCAGUCAUUUUUUCGGGCGAAAUAUUUCUGUUUUCGGGCCAAAAUAUUUGUGUUUUGGGGGCAAUGAACCGAAAUUUGGUAUGGAAAAUUGCGGAAAAGUCCAACGAAAGCAAUUAUAACGCACCUAAAAAGAAUUUAUUGUCGGAAAAAUUUUUUUCCCGAAAAUUUUUUUGCAAUAGGGGCCCCUAAAAAAUUUUUUGCCCCGGGCCCGCGCCAAGCUCUCGGCGGCCCUGCUUGUGGCAAUAUUACCUAAUUCGCUCUUACUAAUAAAGAAAUGGAGAUCUCAUCCACGCGUUCCCAAAUACGUGCUCCUAUUGAUGAGUUUCGAAAUAUCUGCAUUUUAAAGAAUAUGUAGACAUUAAUAUUAAUUGAUUAAUUAAACAACUUACAAUAUAAUAUUACAAGUGAUACUCAAGGUAUGAGAAUGCACUCUGCUUUACAAACAACCUCACAAGCCAGCGUCCGAGGUUGAGUCGGAUACAGAUGCGAUGCUCCUCGUUAAAAUAUAGAUUGGACACAUUAAAAUAAUAAUAUUGACAAAUUAUUUUGGCGACAUGGUUCGUUUUAGCCGAGAAAAUCGAAGCUAAAAUUUACGUAAAUCAGAGCAAAAUUUGUAUGCGAUUUAUAAAUUUGGAUUGAUUAAAUGUUCAUUUCUUUCGAGUUUUUGAACUAGCAUUCCCAUUUCUUCUUGUUGUGAAGCGUGUUUUGCAGAUAGGUUAUUGACUAUGACGUUCCAUUAUAACGUUCCAUUAUUUUUAUUUAGCAUUUGGUGUGAAGAUUGGCAUUGGUGCAGGCGGUGGCGGAACUAGCCUUUUUAUUUUGUGUUGUCUUUAUUAUUUCUGUUGUAAAAAAUAACGUUGUCAUUGAUUAUUUAACGUUAUGUUUUUUUCCAAGUGUUAAUGCUUUGAUUGUAGUGAAAAGUAGUAAAUGAAAUAGUCAUAAAUAGCACCAUGCAUCAAUUGUAGUAUACGAGGGAUCUUUCAUCAUUUAUACCUGUGAUGAUUCUUAAGAACAAUAACGAAAUUAAGAACAGUAAGGCGAAACAUCUAAUUAUAACCGUCAUGUAUAAUCUCCUUAUCUUUAAAUAAUUAAUCGUGGAUAUCCAUAUAGACUAGUUUUGAAUUUUUUAUGUAAUAAGUAUUUUUGUAACUUUUCAUUUACAUUUUCUGUUGG